UUAUAUGUAUUUACUUGGUGACUUUAAUCAUGGAGCUAAAAUUUGCGAUUUCCAUGAUUCGAACGUCACCAUCCAACAUGGUU